UACAGAGGGGGCAAGCGUUGUUCGGAAUUACUGGGCGUAAAGGGCUCGUAGGUGGCCAACUAAGUCAGACGUGAAAUCCCCAGGCUUAACCUGGGAACUGCGUCUGAUACUGGAUGGCUUGAAUUCGGGAGAGGGAUGCAGAAUUCCAGGUGUAGCGGUGAAAUGCGUAGAUAUCUGGAGGAAUACCGGUGGCGAAGGCGGCAUCCUGGACCGAGAUUGACACUGAGGAGCGAAAGCGUGGGGAGCAAACAGG
rnacentral:rRNA from 1 species